AUAACCACGUCUUAUUCAAUAUAAUUUAUUAGUAACGAUAAUUUACAUUUGAUAAAUUCGUACAAUAUAUGAUCUACGUACGCACGCGUUUUGUUUUUCUCUCUUUUUUGCGUGUGUUCCUAAAAAAUAAAAUUUUUAUUAUCAAUUCUCCCUUCGUAGCGAGGCAUAAGAUAGAAAAGAAGGAUUCUUCAUCUCGUUCCAAUUUCCUCCGAUAUCAAUCAGGGUUUCCUUUUCUCGAACGUCGCCGUGACUUUGGUCUUUACCUCGCGAGAUAAUUAACGGGGCCGGCUUUUUUUAUUCGCCACCCUGUAGAUCCACGCUGCGUUCUCACUCGCGUGGCAUAUCUCUCAUCGACGAGGUCCGAUGAAGGUCGCACGAACUAACGCGAAAGAACGCCUCUCCUGCCCGAAACCACGGUAUAGUUUAAUGCACACGCUUGUGACAUUCACGGUGCACGCGUACUUUCGGAAUUCACGAAAGAGAGAGAGAGAGAGAGAGAGGAGCAAGUCCGUAAUUUGUAAGGUUCAACCUUAUGUUAGACGAGACCGUGUGUGUGUACGACACGCGCGAUUAAAGAGCGCCGGGACCCUGUAAAUUACGGGCAUCGUAAUUUGGAAAUAUGGCGCCAGAUAAUUUAUACACAGAUACGGCUUUAAAUAAUGCUCAUUUGAACGAAUCUUAUGAAGUUCGAGAUUUAUGGGACUCGCUUCUCAAUUAUCAUCAUUGUUUCGCUAAUAGAAUUCGAUGUAAUAUUCAACAGCGGCGAUCCGGCAUGAUCGUAAAAAAGCUACUGCCCGGAGGCUGCGCCCCAUUUAUGGUUAAGGCAGUCCCGCGCAAAUAAGCGCGACCUUCCUCGCAGGAGGAAGUACGCAGGUACGGCAUGCGUUUUCGGCGCCGGCUCGGAUUCCGUUCGUCGCCUUUUUGGCGAAUCGGUGCACACCCACGUCUUUAUACCCGGUGACUGAGAAAAUACUAUAUAAUGUAUGUACGAUCUUCCGAGAAUUGGACGAGAUUUCGUCUGCGUGAAACGUUCAUGGAUCGACAAGAAGACGCGAGAACCGGCGGCGUUAAUUAAGGUCGGUCGAGCGCGCAGGAAUAUAUAGGCAGAUUUUAUCGUCGGCCAUUAUGGCUUAGAAUACGACAGAGUCCGGCUACGGCAAUACGCAACGACUCCAUUAACGGACAGGCCAAUCCGCAACGACGCGACUCCCCGCGUUCAGGAUUCGUUAAAACGCAAGUUGGAGAAAAACAUCUCGACGACGCGAGAUAUUUAUCUCUCCUUUUUUUCCUUCUUAUACUUUCCGCGAGCUUUUAUUUUGCCGGCGACGCGAGUCUGUACGCGGAUGAAGAUGGCGGAUACUACGAUAAUUUAUUAACUAGUCCGGCGAGUUGGUUCCCCGGACCUGUUGGUGGAGUCUCGACACCGGCUGGUUUCGCGCCCAGACGAAAUCGCAGCGAGAUGCGAAAGCGUUUUAUCCGCUCGAGCAAACCAUCCCAUUCGUCUUUUAUUCUCGCGUGUUUUGCUCGACAUAUUUUUGCGCGCGAUUUAAUUUAUACCUAAUCGAGAUUGAUAACCGAUAUUAUCCGCGCAUCUCGCACGAGGCGUUUUACAUAUGCAAAUGCGACGAGGCGUACACGAGAGUUACGGAGGUUUCUCACCGGAAUUCGAAUUCAACGCGACCUCGUGCGCGUUGCGAGAGGGGAAACACGACAAGUAGUAAUGAUCGUAAUAAUGUCUCGCCAAGCGACAGCGUACGGUUCGUACGGUAAAGAGCAAAGUUCAGCGUUCCUUCGCCGUUUUACUUCUUGAAGCGGCGAUCUCUGCGGAUAGUUUUUGAAAAGCGUUAUGAAUAUACAUGCUAUGUUAAGGAUGCCGAUCGUUUCAUCCACGAUCAUGACAUAAAACUUAACGGAUUUAUCUAAUUAGAAAAGGCGAUUUAAAAGUGAGAAGAAAAAAAAUAUUACACACGUGUAUACAGAUGCGGAAAAUAUUCUCCGCUUCUUAUUCAAUGUCACGAUAGUGGCAUAUAUGUUCUUCAUUCUGAGAGAAUUAUUUUUCAAAAGAAUUUAUUCUUCGCUACUUAACAUGUACGUAUUACCAAGAACGAUCGACAAUCUAAGGUCAGCUUGGUUUUUGCGCAAAGCAAUCUAGCGUGCAGUAUCCAUAAUGCAUCAACAAGUUUUUAUCAUUCGCUCUCUGAGAUUCGUAUCUCGUAGUGCGUUUUGCAUACGCGACGAAUUCAGCUGGUGCACGAGAAGGAUGCGCGGCGAGAAAACUGCGUCACGCGGUAUCUGACAAAUAUAUAUA